rnacentral:rRNA from 1 species
CAGCGCCACGAGUGGCAAUCAUUUAUUUGGCCUAAAGCGUCCGUAGCCGGUCUGGCAAAUCUUCUGUGAAAUUGUGCAGCUUAACUGUACAGCGUGCAGGAGACACUACCAAGCUUGGAACCGGGAGGGGUACAGAGUAUUCCAGGGGAAGCGGUAAAAUGCUAUAAUCCCUGGAGGACUACCUAUGGCGAAGGCACUGUACCAGAACGGAUUCGACGGUGAGGGACGAAAGCCAGGGGAGCGAUCCGGAUUAGAUACCCGAGUAGUCC